CUCCCUUCCCUUUAUCAACUCCAAUUCGUGGAACUCACAUGCAACCAAGGUGCAACUAGAUCGGAGGAGGAGCCCGACGGAACUCUUCCGUGUUUUCCGGCAAAGCUUUGACCUUUGGCUUCGAUUAUGAUCUUUGGAGGUAAGCUGCAACUCCUUUGACAUCUCCAAUCUUUCAGUUCUCUUAAUUUCUUGAAUUGGGGCUGAAUCACACUUUCUUUUAUUUUGCAUAAUUGCUUUGAGGUAAACCACCGUCUCUGUGAUAUUUUUCCUUUAUUUCGGCGUCAUGAUGGCUAAGGAAGAACCAAGGAGAAUUCUGGAUAUGCAUUUCAGCUACUACUAUGAAUUAGGAGAGAAGCAGAGCCCUUAUUUCGUUGUUGAAUGCUAUGAGAAGUUGCUGUUUUGGAUUUCUGACUCUUUGUUUGAGAUUAAAGAGUUGCUAAGAAAAUAAAAAUGGAGCCUUGCAGCUACAGUUGCAAGCUACGGGGAUGGUUCAGCGCAUUUAUCGAAUUGUGAAGUCCAGAAGUGAUGGAGCAUAAGCUUGGUUGGUGAUGUUGUACACCGUUUGGAAUUUCGGAGGCAUAAGAAAAACGCCUGGGAGUUUCUACUUGAUCAAGUUUGCCUUCUAGGAGGCAUGCUUGCAGCCUUAAAGCACAAGGAGGCAGUGGAGGAUUUCCGGCAAGGAUCUGAGGACCUCCAACAACAUUAUCGAAUUUCGACAGAAACUAUUAAGCUUUUGGAGCAUACGUUUGGAUAUGGGGAUUCUGCUCGACAAUCCAGGUUUUAACUCGUGUUCCUGGAGCUAGGAGUCAUGUAGAGAAGUGAAGUUUGCGUUCCUUGUUCUAGUUCUUUUAUUACUUCUCUAUUGUUAAGUUUAGUAUUUCCUGAGGUUUAUUUAUGAGAAUUGUCACCUUGUGAGUUGUUCUCUUUUGGGUCGUUGUAUUUAAAUAUUUUUGGGCAGGUGACUCUUAU